UGGAUCGGAUCCUCUUGCACCUAGAUUUAAUCUGAAUUACUAUUCGGAUCCAAAUUUUGGAUUCAUACCCAGAUCCAAAUGGGAUCCGAAAUUCGGGUUUCAGAUUUAAACCGGGUAAAGUCUCAACCCUACACAGAGGCUGAAAGUCAAGUGGAGGCCAAAUGGAAUUCCCAUUUAAUUAUUCAACGAUUCCGUGCAAGUGUUACUCACUAAUCAAGCUCCUUUUGUCCCUUUGGUAUAAAUCUUGGGAAUACACUAUUGUUUUGAGUUAUUUCUUAUCAGCUGCAUUAUGUGGACUCGGAUACGUGUAUAGCAUUUGACAUAGAGAUGGGUGUGAAAAAUAGUGAUAUGAAAUUGACCUUCCAAACGUAUUACAUGUUUGUGCACCAUUGAAAGAAUGGAGCAUGUGAGGUUUUAGGUGACAGUAAAUAUUUUUAUUGUGAUAUUUCAAUAGAAAAGAUUUUUAAGUGUCGAUGUUUCAGGUUUAUGAAGUGUCUGACCCAUAGCUCAAAUUUUUUAUUCCUAUGUGGAAGAAAGCUCAGUGGAAGAUGCUCAAAGAAAUGAGGCAAAUGAGUGCGAUGGUGGUGGUUGAGGAUGAUUGUAUGAAUACCAUUAAAUGUAGGAAGGAGGAAAGAGUCUCAUGGGUCUACAAUAGACCUAGUUCGAUAUACCGGACAUCUGCGUGCAGGUCAAGGUAUCUUUUGUCCAUGUUUAGAAGGAGCCAAAUGGAGAAGCGGAUGAAUGUCCAAGCAGGGUGUUAAUUUUUUUUAGCUGAUAACCGUAUCGUGUUAAUAGUGGGUGGUUAUGUUUUUGUUCAUGGUGGGAUCCUCCCACCGAAUGGAGUUCUGGGAACAUGGGGAUCGCGAUCCUAAAAUUCUGGGAGUGGGGAUCUAAUUUGUUGGGGAACCACAUCUACAAUGUUAUGGAACGCGUUCCGUGGGACAGUGGGAGUGAGAUCCGUGCGGUAGCGAGAGCGAGCUCCGUUGUGAAUAUGCCAUAACUCUCUCUCUUACACAAUAUGAAUACUGAGCCCACACACAAUAUGAACAUUGAGCCCAUCCUGAAACUUGUGAUUGGUAGUAAAACAUCCAUCUUUCGGGAUGCGAUUUUGUCAUCAUAGAUUUCUCAACAUAUGUUUUGCUUAGUUCUCUAUAGCUAUGGAGAGCAAGGAAGACAUGUGCAUGUGUGAUAAACAAAUAAACAACAAAUAAAGCAGGGCAGAGUCUGAAGCCAAGCAAGUUUUUCAGUAAAAAGCAAGUGGAGUGUUUAAGGGAUUGAAUGUUGUCCUCCUUUUUCCUUACUUUCCUCGCACUCCUUCCUUCUAACCAGGAAAGCCAGCCCACUCCAAUAUCGCAUUUUACUAACUCGAGUCAGGAGAGAGUUAAAUAAAUUGAAGUAGUGGCAGAGCCAAUAGAGAGCCUUGCCUUCAUAUCAAUACAGUACCUACACACACGUGAGUAUAUACGCGAAAGUGAUGAGACCGAAUCCUCAAGAAUCACAUAAGAAGAGUAGUUGUACAAUUUGAAGCAUUUAUCACCAAGCAAAAGCAAAAACUUAAACCUUACCUGUUCAAGUGCUGAUUUGCCAUGCUUCACGUUGCAGAAUCCCAGCGCUGCAACUAUAAGGAACACAUGGAAAGAAGAUGUUAAUAUUAUCUCAAACUUACAUCUGAAUAUUUCUAUUUCCUUCCACUUUCUAAGAAAUCAACUCUUCAUCAAUAAACACCAAUAGAUUUCAACUACCCCAAAAAACAGAACACCAUGGGUUUCAUGUGGACGUUAUUGGAAGCUUUCAUCCAACAUCUUCAACUCCCUACAUCCCUCCCCAAAUGGUAAUGCUAUGAGCACGGUCCUCGUCAAAAAAUGAAUGCGCCAAGCAUAAUUUUUUGAGAGAUUCAAGCGAGUGAAGCCACUGUGGCAACCUCCCUAAAUUCCCAUUUUAAGAUUAGUUUUAGAAGAUAUAAUGGGGGCGAAGACUUUUUCUCUGAAAGUGUAAGUUUUCCGUGGCGUAUGCAAGUUACGUGUAAGUCAUGGAGGUCGCUCAUCUCCUUCCCUCCUCUAGGUUGAGGCAAACUCACCAGAGUUGUGUUCCUUACAACCGGGGGAUAAUGACAUAGCCAAGCCCCUGCAGCAACUAAUAGUUUAUGGCUGGGCUGCUAAGGAUCACAUGACCGUAAGGGACAAAAGGGGCGAGUAGGGAAUUUGUUAUGUUAUUUCUGCAUGCUCGAGUUAAUAAAAGUUCAUAGGUGGAUUCCUGGUUUUUUGAAUUUUCUUCCUUCUCUAUCUUCUAUUCUCCUUAAAGGCUUCUCGUUCCAUUAGAGUUUAUGCAAAGUAAAGUGCUGAUUCAUGAAGAAUAACCCUAAUUUGCAUCAACCCAUUUCUUCGCCUCUACCAAAGCUCUGAUUUUCCCCAAGACUAUGUUUUCUUUUGAAGGGUCUUCUCACCCUUUGGUAGAUGGCCCAAACAUGUAUUACAAUGCCUUUUCAUGGAUAUCACGGCACACUAAUUCUUUUUUUUUUUUUUUGACAAGAUUAAAUCACAGCACACUAAUUGCAGCUCUAAACAAGAACAAGAUGCCAAUUGUUACAUGGGGGUUCUCGUUACUCAAUUGGGGUGGCUGGAAAUGCAUGUUAUGCUCAUCAGGUGAAGAAACAGGAUGCUCGAAGCUGCGACUUUGAUGGGUUGGGAAUAAUUACUUUUCUAGAUCCAAGCAUUGGGGAUUGCAGGUUUCUGGUUGGAAUUAGUGAUCUUCAGGGUACGACUGAGUCAGUGGAAUGGAUAGAUAAUGUCGUUAGUGAUUGUAUUUCUAGGUUUUUUUGGCGCUCUGUUAUGUAGGGAUGGGAGUUUUGCAUAUGGUAAAUAUAGUGUGUAAUGGAUGGAUAGUGUUGUGGAUGGUUCUUUUUCUAGGGUUUUGGGGUGUUGUGUGAUGUGCUAAACUGUGGAGAUUGCAUAUGGUUGGCAUAAAGAGUAUUGCAUAUAGUAGACAGCGAGUCUUAUAGACAGUGUAAGAUAUGGUGGUCUUAAAUAGGGAAGCGGGCUUAAGGAUGGACAUCAGAUAGUCAUUUAAACAUUCACUGAGCUUAUAAUUAAGUAUAGAAUGUGAAUCUAAUAUUCAGAAAGGUUCCUGGGUUGUUAUCAAUGGCACAGAUUGGUUACUGUUACAGCUGGAACAAGCAUUUGAUUCACGUCACAAUGGAUAAUUUUCCAUUUCCCUGCACGUAUUGAUGUGCCUAUGAGGAGGAACAUUAGGCAAUAUGGAGGCCAUUUCCUCUACCGCUUGUUCAGUAAGAAAAAGGCCCUGGCUUUGGAGGGAUCCUUAAGGAUUUUUCGGGAGACAUUAUCUUUUGUUAUGCAGGACUGGGAGGAGUCUUAGCGGCCAAUGAAGCAGAGAUGGAAGCGGUUGCAAGAGCCUCGGAGUUUGUCAUCCAAAAAGGUGUGACAGAUCCUUUUAGUAUUGAAGGGGACUCGUUAAAUGUCAUAAACUGGUGUUCCCUGAUUUCUCGACCUCUGUUGCGGUUGAGAAAAAAACAGAUGAAAAGUUUGGAUCUGUGCUCCACUUUGCAAGUCUCUUUUCAACAUGUAUAUAGGAGGCAAAUUCUGCUGCUGAUGGGCUUGCUAAGAAGGGUGCGACUCUUCCUUCUGUUUUCUUUUCUGAUAAGUUAUAUUACACGAGGCUAGCUUAUGAUGGUUUUAUACCAUAUUGGAAAUAACAGUAUGUUAUAUAUCAAACAUAACUCAUCUAAAAUAUUAUGUCUUUCUGAGCAACAAUAGCAGCCUCAAAGCCAUCUUUAUGGCAGCCUCAAAGCCAUCUUUAUGGCUUGUGAGGCAGUUCUCUUGAAAUUUGAUGCGUAACUGAUGUCAGGUCCGAUUUUUUUAAAAAAAUGCUUUGAACUA